rnacentral:lncRNA from 1 species
CGAAUCAAUAAAGUUAGCUAAAUGGAAACAAUGCUCGGAGAAAGAUUGUUUUAAUAUUAGUUUUAUUAGACUUGAUUUUUCCCAAGCUAACUGUUACUUAAUAAUUAAACAACCCCCCCCCUUAAUUCCCCCUUGGUUUAGUGUAUGCAAUAAAUUAAAACUAUUCAUUUUUACUUUGGUAGUAAAUUAAGGGGUGCACCCCCUAUAUUAUCAUACCCAG